AUCUAGCUGACGAGUUCCAAAUAGGACGAAACGCGCGUCCUGGAU
rfam:Schistosoma rodhaini strain Burundi genome assembly, scaffold: SROB_scaffold0004121